ensembl:lncRNA
GGCCGUUUCUCAAUACCUAAGACGGCGAGAACGGACUCGCGUUCCCGCGAGAAUAGACUCGGGAGACAGACUCGGGAGUCCUGACUCACGGGUACGGGAGAACGGACAUUUCCGCAAUUGAACAGCAGCUGACUUGAUGACGUCACCACAGUAGGCGGUCUUUGUUUACGCACGCAAGUAUCUCAUCUGCCAUCGCAGCUUGCUGAGGUGAAAAGCAUUCUGGGAUAUGUGUCUCUCACAAGAACAGACGAGCCUGCUUCGAUGCAUGCCCGGUAAAAUGGGCGGGGCGAGUCACAUCUGGGUAUUAUGACCGUUCUCGGCCAGAUGCGGACUUGAGAAUUGGAACAGUACUCGGGCUGUGACUGAUGACGUUUCACGAGUCCACGAGAACAAAAGUCCACACAAGAACGCAUAUUGAGAAACGGCCACUGUCUCCCGAGUCUAUUCUCGCGGGAACGCAAGGACAACUUAAUAAAAGGUUCUUCGAUUGAUUCGUUUCCUCCUGAUAACAGCAUCCAGACUAGAGCUUCUGAUACGAGAAUUGUGACUGGCUGGUUUUUUGAAUUCUUUAAAACUACCCGCUGCAAGCACCUCCUCCUCCUUGACGUUCGUCACAGAUGCCGAGGAAGGGGAAGAGAUCCCAGGCCCUGAAACUGCGUUAGACAAUACUGAAUCGGAUGAGUCAAUCAACUUUAAACCAACAGUGCGGAAAUGGGCUUCUAUAGUUGUGUGGAUGCAUCACUCCAGCCAAUCCAAAGACGGGGUUUGUAACCAAUCAGGUGUAGAGACCAUGGUGACUGGCUCCGCCCCCUUAAUGUCAGAAAGAACAACAGCGAGCGCGUAGAAAACUCCUUCGAGCGCGAGCAGAGACUAACCUCAACCUCAAGAAUCUCUUCUCUCGCACAGAGACCGUGACACCGAGGAGCAGCUCCGCUCAUUUUGCCCACUUUCACCUCAUACUUACAAAACCAGUCGGAUUAUAUUUUCUUUUAGAUAAAACAGGCAUUUUUCAAUAUUUUUACGACUUCCUCAAUGCUACGCGGCGAGGCCUACCAAACAAGAUGAGCCUGUGCUAAAGGUAAUUAGCAGAAGAUGCCUCCCUUCUCUACGGAAGAUUACCACAAACUCGUACAGAAGAUUUUACUGCUGGAAACAAAAGUUAAUCGGUUAGAGGUAAAUGUAGAAGUAAACGGACCAUGUGGGAACAACACCACUCUAGCAAUGACUCAAAACAGUGGACAAGAGCAUGCUAGAACCCAGCUAACUAGCAAUGAUGGAACUAUGAAGAAACUGGAGGACUCUGUACAGGGUAAUAAACCAGCGACAAUCCUCCCUGGACCACACUUGGUGCAAAGCCAAAGAGAAGACCAGACAAGGGAGAACGGAUAACUGGCAGGAUGCCGCAGCGGCCCGAUAUCUGUGAUCUGGCCGACUGGCCUGCGUUACCAUCCAGGCAUAACUCCUCCUCAACGUAGAACAAAGCAGCGGACAACUGAGAAGAGGGGAACUACCUAGAAAACUCCCCAGCAAACAGGUGUAAAUCUACAAAACAGGUUUGCUCCACUGUUGCAGGACCAUGGAUCCCCCUCUAAAUUUCUGGAUAACCCUCCACCACCAUGCAGCAGGGUAAGACCUGCUAACUUAAAGCCACAGAGAAAGCUAACGACAGGGCCUGAAAAUCUGAUUGUGGGUGAUUUUUCUGUAAAAGAUAUGAAAAGUAGUAACGACACCAAAGUACUCUGCUUCCCGGAGGAUAUGGUGUCUGACUUGGAAGAAAGAAUUUUGGAAAUUGUGGCUGAACACCCAACUGUGAAAAACCUAAUUCUGCACAUUGGCUCCAAUGACAUUGAAAAACAACAAUCAUAAAAGUUAAAAGAGCACUUCGAUAAUCUCCUAGAAACAGUCAGCUCUGUG